rnacentral:rRNA from 1 species
GUAGGGGGCGAGCGUUGUCCGGAUUUAUUGGGCGUAAAGAGCUCGUAGGCGGUUUGGCAAGUCGGGUGUGAAAACUCCGGGCUCAACUCGGAGACGCCACUCGAUACUGCCAUGACUAGAGUCCGGUAGGGGAGUGCGGAAUUCCUGGUGUAGCGGUGAAAUGCGCAGAUAUCAGGAGGAACACCGGUGGCGAAGGCGGCACUCUGGGCCGGUACUGACGCUGAGGAGCGAAAGCGUGGGGAGCGAACAGGAUUAGAUACCCUGGUAGUCCACGCCGUAAACGUUGGGCACUAGGUGUGGGGCUCGAUCGACGGGUUCCGUGCCGUAGCUAACGCAUUAAGUGCCCCGCCUGGGAAGUACGGCCGCAAGGCUA